CCCCUCUCUGUGACUACUUCAGCCUUUGAGCUUUUUAAUGCGAUGGUGUCCCCGCGGGAUCAAAUUUCAGCAUCACAGCUGAGGCCUGGCUUCGCGGUCCCUGACGGGAGAUCAUGAACAGGUGGCUCUUCCUUGGACAUGGCUCUGGAGUGUACAGCUCACUGGUCCAGGACCCCACAGCGGGAGACCUUGGGACGCCCUGCUUCUGGGGACAUAGUGAGGAGUGUAGACUGGAUGCCAGUGGUGGGCUCGGGGCCUCCACCAUAUGGGGCUCCCCCCUUCCCCAACCCAGACCUGAAGAAGGAGUGCCGUAAUGACCAGGACGUUUUGAAGAGGCAUCACAACGUAGCUAAGAAGCCCUUGGAGACCAGCUCUUCCAAAGCCAAAGCCAAAACCAUUGUGAUGAUUCCUGACUCCCAGAAGCUCCUGCGAUGUGAACUUGAGUCACUCAAGAGCCAGCUACAGGCCCAGACCAAGGCUUUCGAGUUCCUGAACCACUCAGUGACCAUGUUGGAGAAGGAGAGCUGCUUGCAGCAAAUCAAGAUUCAGCAGCUUGAAGACGUGCUGAGCCCUACAGGCCACCAGGGAGAGAAGGAGGGGCACAAGUCGGGCCCCUCUUUGGAGCAGGGCCAGCAGGAGCUUUAUGGGGCCCUGGCCCAAGGCCUGCAGGGGCUGGAGAAGACCCUGCGUGACAGUGAGGAGGUGCAGCGCGCCCGCACCACUCGCUGCCUGCAGCUGCUGGCCCAGGAGAUCCACGACAGCAAGAAGUUCCUGUGGGAGGAGCUGGAACUGGUUCGGGAAGAGGUGACCUGCAUCUAUCAGAAGCUCCAGGCCCAGGAGGAUGAGAUCUCAGAGAACCUGGUGAACAUUCAGAAAAUGCAGAAAACGCAGGUGAAAUGCCGCAAAAUCCUGACCAAGAUGAAGCAGCAGGGUUAUGGGACAUCUGCCUGGCCGGAGACUGAGGAGAUACUGCAGGGAGCCGGUGGCUGCUGGAAGGAUGACCUUCAGAAGGAACUGAGUGACAUAUGGUGAUGCCCAGCCCUCAGUCUGACCCCUGACCCUCGUGUGAACCCCUUUCCCAAACGGGAUCUGGCAGUGACUUCCAGAACCUGGAGCCCACCUGAGUCCAGAGCUCCCUCACCCCCUAGGACUCACCCCACCAUGACCCCCAACCUUGGUCCUACUGCUGUCCACUCCCUGAGCAGUCUGGAAUCUCCCAGAACCCCCAGCUCCUCAUCUUCCUGCAGGUCUGCUGUGCAUGUGCUGCAGAACUCCAUCGACGGCGUCACCAUGUCUUUGGGGGCUCAUCCCAAGGCCUCAAGCCCCAGGGGCCACAGGGGGCACCGGUACCUGAGCCGUCCACUCCCCUCCUGGGACUCUGACUCUGACUCUGACGAGGACCUCUCUCAGCCACCUUUCAGCAAGAGCCGUCGUUCCUUCCCACACGCUUGAGCAGCCGGGACUGCUCUCCCUGAAGACCCCUCCAGAGAGAAAAUAAACUAGCCGAGACCCUCUUCU